rnacentral:ncRNA from 1 species
AUGAAUGCGAUGAAGAGAAGAGUAGUCAACGCUUUUUCAGAGAGAAAACAGUCGGUGAAAGUUUUCAUAGUUGAUGAAGGUAGCUUGGAGCUUUAAAGUGUGAACUAAUAGUAGUACUUUACGCAGAAGAUACUGUGUUAACAACAUGGAGAGAUACUCGGAUUUGUGUCUAAAAUUAGGUGGUACCACGUUAUUUAAACGUCCUUUGU